GACGAACGCUGGCGGCGUGCCUAAUACAUGCAAGUCGAACGCAGUGGGGACGGGUGAUUAAAAAGUGGGUCACCUCCCAUCAGAGGGGAUAACACUUGGAAACCGGUGCUAACCAGAUACUGAUGGAUGGACCCGCGGUGCAUUAGGUAGGUUGUGAGGGAACGGCUCACCAAGGCCACGAUGCAUAGCCGACCUGAGAGGGUGAUCGGCCACACUGGGACUGAGACACGGCCCAGACUCCUACGGGAGGCAGCAGUAGGGAAUCUUCGGCAAUGGACGAAAGUCUGACCGAGCAACGCCGCGUGAGUGAAGAAGGUUUUCGGAUCGUAAAACUCUGUUGGUAGAGAAGCGGUAUCUAACCAGAAAGCCACGGCUAACUACGUGCCAGCCGCCGCGGUAAUAC
rnacentral:rRNA from 1 species